AGCUUCUCGAAACAAGUCUGAGAAGAAGCGUCGGGACCAGUUCAAUGUUCUCAUCAAAGAGCUCAGUUCCAUGCUCCCUGGCAACACGCGGAAAAUGGACAAAACCACCGUGUUGGAAAAGGUCAUCGGAUUUUUGCAGAAACACAAUGAAGUCUCAGCGCAAACGGAAAUCUGUGACAUUCAGCAAGACUGGAAGCCUUCAUUCCUCAGUAAUGAAGAAUUCACCCAGCUGAUGUUGGAGGCAUUAGAUGGCUUCAUUAUCGCAGUGACAACAGACGGCAGCAUCAUCUAUGUCUCUGACAGUAUCACGCCUCUCCUUGGGCAUUUACCGUCGGAUGUCAUGGAUCAGAAUUUGUUAAAUUUCCUCCCAGAACAAGAACAUUCAGAAGUUUAUAAAAUCCUUUCUUCCCAUAUGCUUGUGACGGAUUCCCCCUCCCCAGAAUACUUAAAAUCUGACAGCGAUUUAGAGUUUUAUUGCCAUCUUCUCAGAGGCAGCUUGAACCCAAAGGAAUUUCCAACUUAUGAAUACAUAAAAUUUGUAGGAAAUUUUCGCUCUUACAACAAUGAAGGUCAGUCCGUUCUCCACAGUUGCCCUGGAGGCAGGGACCAAGUCACACAGAGAAGACUCUGCCGAGGCUACUGGAGUGCCUAGCCCCUCCUGUAAUGGUUUUGACAACACCCUUUCAAGACCUUGCCGGGUGCCACUAGGAAAGGAGGUUUGCUUCAUUGCCACCGUUCGUCUGGCAACACCACAAUUCUUAAAG
rnacentral:sRNA from 1 species